AUGCCAACUCCUCUUCCUGGUUGUUCCCGGGAGACUGAGGGUAAACUGCUCGCAGUGGCUCCGUUAAACGUGAGUCAGGUUACCACACACGGACUAAAACGGAGCAGAGAGGGACACGCCUCGGACCUGCUGAGAGUGUCACUGACUGUGUUGGGGGCAUGCCAGGGUCCCAAUGUAAUCGAGGCCUGCCCGUGUACCAGGAGUGCUGCUGCCAGUAGAGGACGGAUGCUCCAGCUCAGACGAAAGGCAGCUGCAGUUCCAACCUUGUCCAGUAGAGUGCAGUAGAGGACAAGUGUCAUCAUGGGGCAUCACCAGAAUCAUCAGACUCUACAGACAUUCAGCUCUCCUUGGUCCAAGAGGCUGAGACAGAAGCCUAUCUCUGGGUCAGCACCCCAAAGAGAGAAAGGGAGUUGACGAGGGGGGUGGAAUAGAGGGCCCUAUAAGUGAAUGAUCUGCUCAUCUUGUAUGCGUCCCAAGUGGCACCCUAUUCCAUAUUAAGUGCACUAAAUUUAGGCUUUUAGGAAAUAGGAUGCCAUUUGGGAGGCAUACAGUGACCAAACCAGGCUUUUUUUCUGCUGUGCAGACUGCAAUAGCAUCUAACUGUUCUUGAACAGCUCUGCUGCACUUUCUUUAAGCCUGCUUUUACAUGAAUGUAUCAGCCUCUGUGUAACCUUAGUCACUUUCUAUUGAAAUUCUAAAGCAGUAACAAUUUGAUACAUUAUAAAACAAUCACAGAAUGUAUGAAGUUUAACUGAACCUCUUUAAGCUUUCAAUAUUUCCUGAGCUAAUAUAUUUUAAUGUGCCUCACCCCACCAAUGUCAUUUUAUGAUAAUCGAAUGUGGAGUUGUUUACUGUUAUGUUGCUCUGUGUAGAAUUGUAAAACAAAAUAAAUAUCAAAUGUAUGUUGCAAUGUUGAUGACACUGAUUACUCAAUGUAUUUAUUUACAGUAUAUUACAAAUAUGUCUGCCUCUGCGUUUUUUGUGUGCAUUGGAGACUGAUAAAUCAAGCUAUGAAACACUGAACUACAAAUCACACAAUCCAAUAUGACAAAACACGAAAUAAUGAAAGGAUUCCAGGGUGAGUAGUAGAUUUGUGCCAGCACAGAAGGAUAGGCCAGCGAGUGAUUUAUGCUUCAGUAAGGUUGGCUUCUUAGCGUUCAGAGCAAUGGUUAUCAACUGUACUGCAGAAAUGGAAGGUAAAUCACAGUAAAUGUUGUGGUGGCAGCUGCAGAGAUGUAUUUGGGUAUACGAGAUUUGACUUCAAAAGAGUUACAGGGUGUUGAGGGGUGGUGUCCCGUCCUCCCAGGCCGUUGGCAUGGUGCAGAAACAGAUAGGGUCAAAGUAGUGGAAUGGGGUGGUGUGUUUUUAGCUAGUGUAGGUGGUGGUGUCUGGGCUAUAUUUAACUUUCUUAGAGUAACAUUACUAAUGAAGAGAAUUUAAUUUAGUUAGGCUGUGACUGGCCUCACACUCCAGUACAGUAGGUGGCGGUGUAUGCACCUACAAGUUGGAUGUGCUCCACCAACCAAAUUCCAAAAAGAAGUAGACAAAACACUGAAGUACACUUUAGAAUAAAUCAGCAUUAGGACUGCUGUACUUCACAUACACAAUUGGUGUUUUAAAUAGCCAAAGUUUAACACGCAUUUAGUUUGUGCACAAGUAAUUGCUCUUAUUUUGAUUGGAAGAUUUGUAUUGUGUGUUGUCUGGAAUUUGAAAUGAGAUAUCCAUAUUUAGUCUACCAUUCACAUGCUAACGAUAGAAUAUGCUAAAACCAAAGACAGUACAGUAUGAAGAUAGGCAGAAACUGCUUCUCCAAAAUAAAUCCUUGAUCACACUUGUAGGCAAUAUCAUGGUGGCAUUGGCUAGCUAAGCUCAUGCGCAGAAACACAUCAUCGGGUCUCAAGGUCGUCUCACCCCGAACUGUGCAUGUGCAGGCCAUCAAAUCAAAGGCACUCCUUCAAUUUAAAGUUGUUUUUGACUCAAAUGAAAAUGUGUAAUUUUGUCACUUUCACAAGGUUGGUGUAAUAACAUGUCCAACUAUACUGAACAAAAAUAUACACGCAACACGUUAAGUGUUGGUCCCAUGUUUCAUGAGCAGAAAUAAAAAUCCUAGAAAUUGUCAAUACUCACAAAAAACAUUUCUCUCAAAUUGUGUGCACAACUGUGUUUAUAUCCCUGUUAGUGAGCAUUUCUCCUUUUCCAAGAUAAUCCAUCCACCUGACAGGUGUGGCAUCUCAAUAAGACGACUAAACAUCGUGAUCAUUAUACAGGUGCACCUUGUGCUGGAGAUAUUAAAAGGCCACUCUUAAAUGUGCAGUUUUGCCACACAACACAAUGCCACAGAUUUUGAGGGAGCGCACAACUGGCAUGCUGACUGCAGGAAUGUCCACCAGAGUUGUUGCCAGAUAAUUUAAUGUUCAUUUCUCUACCAUAAGCCACCUUUAAUGUUGUUUUAGAGAAUUUGGCAGUAUGUCCAACUGGCCUCACAACUGCAGACCAUCUGAAACCACGCCAGCCUAGAACCUCCACGUCCGGCUUCUUUACCUACAGGAUCAUCUGAGACCAGCCAGCCGAACAGGUGAUGAACCUGAGGAGUAUUGCUGUCUGAAAUAAAGCCCCUUUGUGGGGAACAACUCAUUCUGAUUGGCUGGAUCUGGCUCCCCAGUGGGUGGGCCUAUGCCGUCCCAGGCCCACCCAUGAAUAUGCCCCUGCCCAGUCAUGUGAAAUCCAUAGAUUAGGGCCUAAUGAAUAUAUUUCAAUUGACUGAUUUCCUUAUAUGAACUGUAACUCAGUAAAAUCAUUGAAAUUGUUGCAUGAUGCAUGUAUAUUUAGUUUCAUUAUACUUAUUACAUUGACUCAAAUCUAGAUUGUGCCUUUAGAUUUAGCUAAAAUGAACAACUAUCAAAGAUUUUUUCAUGUCUCUCAUUGACUUCUCAAACCCAGUCCCCGGCCUGGUCUGCUUGGUCUAUUUCACAAGCAUUCCCAGAAGCCUUGCAAUGUUGAGCCUCUGGGUUUAGAAACUGUGCUAAAACCGUGGUGCUCUCUGACUAUGAUUGCACAUGCCAACCAGAAUGUCCAGCAUGACAAUUACACAUUGUCAUAUUUGAUGUGAUAUGUUAGUUAAACUAGCUAAAUGCUGAAUUAUGAUAGUUACAAAGAUACUGCCC
rnacentral:lncRNA from 13 species